AAAAUAGCUUUAAUUUAGUAAUUUCAACUUCAUCGUUGAAAGAUAGUGAUUAGACAUUUAUUAAUAUAAUGCUUAAAUAUAAUAUUAAAUAAUUUAAAUAAUACUACAGGCUACAGUAAGACCAAACUGCCUUUAAACAAUGAAAAUGUGAAAUAACCAUGAGUUUAGUUAUUAAUUAUGUACCGCGAGAUGCUUCCUAAUGCUACCCGGGCUCUUGAACGUGUCGCUUCUUUGACCAAUGCCUGGAACGGAGCCCUUUGACCCUUGCUUGUCCCUUCUUCCAUGCUCGGUCCCCACUUCUUCCUUUUCGUUAUCCACCCCGCUUUUUUUGUUUACUUUGUCUAAUCGGUAGGUGUAGAGUUCUUUAUUUUGGGUUUUCUUUCUUAUAUUUUUUCGGCUCUUUCAGGAGGCCCUAGCUGUCUCCAUUAUGUACGCUUAGUUCAUUUCGCUUAAUGAAUGAAGCAGGUAGCUUGCUACCUAUUUCUCAAAAAAAAAAAAAAAAAAAUUAUGUAUAUUACUAUAUAAUACUAGUUUCUAGCUUUCUGAAAACAUCUAGACCCAAAAAAAAAAAAAUGUCAUAACCACAAGAUCAUAAGUUCGAAUCCAUCAGAUUCAUUUGUUAUCUAAUAGAGAAAACGUUGAACCCAUCUAAUCCAAAUUUUAUGUUUUGAUUCUAGAAAAAUAUGAGAAAAAGUAUUAUAUAGUAAUAAAUAUAAAGAUUAAUUUCAUACAGAUUCUUGCAAAUAUAGUGAAUUACAAAUAUAUCUCUAUAAAGUUCAAUUCUAAUUUUUCAAAUGUAUCUUUGCCGUUAGAAUUCGUUAAAAAACUUUAAUUAAACAAGUUAAAUUCUUAACUCUGGUUAAUUUAUGAGAUAACUUGACAUUUUUGUCGCUGUUAUAUUAUAUUUUUGUAGCUUUUGGAGGGACAUAUUUGUGAUGGCAAAAUUGACAUUUCACUUAAAAUAUAAAUAAUUCUAUAACAGUAACAAACCAAAGGAACAUAUUUAAAAUAUUAGAACUUUUGUAAGGACAAUUAAUAUAUGAAAAUUAAACUUUGGUGGGACAUAUUUACAAUUCACUACUAUAUUUGCAGGGACGUUUAUGCAUUUAACCCUGAAAAUAUAAAGU
rnacentral:lncRNA from 1 species